rnacentral:ncRNA from 1 species
GGGUUGAUCCGUGGCGAUUUAUACCAAAUUGCGGGCCACGCUAAACGAAACCGCUAAAAGGUCAGGAUGAAGGGCUC